rnacentral:rRNA from 1 species
ACUCCGUGCCAGCAGCCGCGGUAAUACGGAGGGUGCAAGCGUUAUCCGGAUUUACUGGGUUUAAAGGGUGUGUAGGCGGACUUUUAAGUCUGGGGUGAAAUCUCCGAGCUCAACUCGGAAACUGCCUUGGAUACUAUUAGUCUUGAAUUAUGUUGAGGUUGGCGGAAUAUAACAUGUAGCGGUGAAAUGCAUAGAUAUGUUAUAGAACACCGAUUGCGAAGGCAGCUAACUAAGCAUAUAUUGACGCUGAGGCACGAAAGCGUGGGGAUCAAACAGGAUUAGAUACCCUGGUAGUCC